rnacentral:rRNA from 1 species
GACGAACGCUGGCGGCGUGCUUAACACAUGCAAGUCGAACGGAAAGGCCCUGCUUUUGUGGGGUGCUCGAGUGGCGAACGGGUGAGUAACACGUGAGUAACCUGCCCUUGACUUUGGGAUAACUUCAGGAAACUGGGGCUAAUACCGGAUAGGAGCUCCUGCUGCAUGGUGGGGGUUGGAAAGUUUCGGCGGUUGGGGAUGGACUCGCGGCUUAUCAGCUUGUUGGUGGGGUAGUGGCUUACCAAGGCUUUGACGGGUAGCCGGCCUGAGAGGGUGACCGGCCACAUUGGGCCUGCGAUACGGCCCAGACUCCUACGGGAGGCAGCAGGGGGGAGUAUUGCACAAUGGGCGGACGCCUGAGGCAGCAACGCCGCGUGCGGGAUGACGGCCUUCGGGUUGUAAACCGCUUUCGCCUGUGACGAAGCGUGAGUGACGGUAAUGGGUAAAGAAGCACCGGCUAACUACGUG